rnacentral:rRNA from 1 species
CAGUCGCCACGGGAAUACAGAGGGUGCGAGCGUUAAUCGGAUUUACUGGGCGUAAAGCGUGCGUAGGCGGCUUUUUAAGUCGGAUGUGAAAUCCCUGAGCUUAACUUAGGAAUUGCAUUCGAUACUGGGAAGCUAGAGUAUGGGAGAGGAUGGUAGAAUUCCAGGUGUAGCGGUGAAAUGCGUAGAGAUCUGGAGGAAUACCGAUGGCGAAGGCAGCCAUCUGGCCUAAUACUGACGCUGAGGUACGAAAGCAUAAGGAGCAAACAGGAUUAGAUACCCGCGUAGUCCCUGUCUCUUAUAC